rnacentral:rRNA from 1 species
ACGUAGGGGGCAAACGUUGCUCGGAAUUACUGGGCGUAAAGGGUGAGUAGGCGGCUUGGCAAGUCAUGGAUGAAAUCCCGCAGCUCAACUGCGGAACGGUCCCUGAAACUGCCAGGCUUGAGGAUAGUUGAAGAGAAUGGAAUUCCCGGUGGAGCGGUGAAAUGCGUAGAUAUCGGGAGGAACACCAGAGGCGUAGGCGAUUCUCUAAGCUACUCCUGACGCUGAAUCACGAAAGCUAGGGGAGCGAACGGGAUUAGAUACCCCGGUAGUCCUAGCCGUAAACGAUGGAUACUAGAUAUUCCUGCAGUUGUGUGGGAGUGUCGAAGCUAACGCGUUAAGUAUCCCGCCUGGGGAGUACGGUCGCAAGGCUG